UACGUAGGCAGCGAGCGUUGUUCGGAGUUACUGGGCGUAAAGGGCUCGUAGGUGGCCAACUAAGUCAGACGUGAAAUCCCUCAGCUUAACUGGGGAACUGCGUCUGAUACUGGAUGGCUUGAGAUUGGGAGAGGGACGCGGAAUUCCAGGUGUAGCGGUGAAAUGCGUAGAUAUCUGGAGGAACACCGGUGGCGAAGGCGGCGUCCUGGACCAACACUGACACUGAGGAGCGAAAGCCAGGGGAGCAAACGGG
rnacentral:rRNA from 1 species